rnacentral:rRNA from 1 species
AUACAGAGGGUGCGAGCGUUAAUCGGAAUUACUGGGCGUAAAGCGCGCGUAGGCGGCUUGGUCAGUCGGAUGUGAAAGCCCUGGGCUCAACCUGGGAAUGGCAUUCGAUACUGCCAGGCUAGAGUAUGGGAGAGGGAAGUGGAAUUUCCGGUGUAGCGGUGAAAUGCGUAGAUAUCGGAAGGAACACCAGUGGCGAAGGCGACUUCCUGGCCCAAUACUGACGCUGAGGUGCGAAAGCGUGGGGAGCGAACAGGAUUAGAAACCCUAGUAGUCC